UUUGUUCCAUCCCGGCAGACGAGGAAGACAUCCCUUUCUCUUGGCUUAGCUGCUCUGCUUAGCUUGGCCCGGAAUGGCUAGAGGGAAAAUCUGGCCUGGAGACUCGGAUUCCGCUACUUUCAGAGCAAGGCCCUGUGUCCUUCUUGCUUGAGCCCUGGGAGAGUUCUGACCAUCUUAGUUGGUGCUUCUGUGCUUGCCCCUACUCUGUAAACUCUUAUUUUGGUGCCAUGCACUUGGAUUUAUGGCCCUGAUGGGUCUCCACAACCUACUUCUUUUCCUGAGACCCAGGAGUUCCAAAGACUGGAAUCCAAACCUGCCCUCUAAUUUUUUUUUUUUUUUAAUUGCUUAGGCCAGAGAAAGAAACCAGACUGCCAGCAGAUAAGAAUCAGCUGAGUGAAUUCAGGGACUCCCACUUCAUUCUUCCCAUCCGAUUAAAGUUUGUUGCUGUUGUUC
rnacentral:lncRNA from 1 species